rnacentral:lncRNA from 1 species
CCCAGGUGUCCCCAGGUGUCCCCAGGUGUGUCCAGGUGUGCUCAGGUGUGACCCCAGGUGUCCCCAGGUGUCCCCAGGUGUGUCCAGGUGUGCUCAGGUGUGUCCCCAACCCCUCCCAGGUCCCCGCCCCUGCUCCAGGUGCGUCUCUCGCUCACCUUCGAGCCCCAGGUGAUUCCGGCCGUGGUUUCCGAGUGUCCCGAGGAGGGGGAGGAGCCUCGGGCUCACCUGGCGCGGGCGCGGCUCUGCUUCACCUGCGCCAAACGCAGCCGCGACAGCUUCGGUUCCGAGCCCUCUCUCCUUCUCCGCUUCCGGGCCGAGCUCGAUCCCGGGAGGCUCCGGAGCCGCGGAAUUUUCGCUUCCGGAACCUUCCAGAACGGGAGCCUCCGGAUGGGGGAGGGGCGGAGCUGCCGGACCCUCGAGAUCUUCUCCAAGGUUGAGGGGAAAUUUGGGAAUUUGGGGAAUUUUGGGGAUUUUUUUGGGAUUUUUUUGGGAAUUUUGGGGGGAAUUUUUGGGAAUUUUUUGGGAAUUUUUGGGAAUUUUGGGGGGGGAAUUUUUGGGGCAUUUUGGGGAAAUUUUGGGGAUUUUUGGGGGGAAUUUGGGGAUUUUUUGGGGGGAAUUUUGGGGGAUUUUUGGGGAAUUUUUGGGGAUUUUUUUGGGAUUUUUUGGGGAAUUUUUGGGGAUUUUUGGGGAUUUUUUGGGGGAUUUUUUAAGGGAUUUUU